rnacentral:rRNA from 1 species
UACGUAGGUGACGAGCGUUAUCCGGAAUACUGGGCGUAAAGCGCACGCAAGCGGUUGGACAAGUCUGGCGUGAAAUCCUCUGGCUUAACCAGGGGCGGUCGCUGGAGACUGUUCGGCUUGAGGCGAUGAGAGGGGUGCAGAAUUCCCGGUGUAGUGGUGAAAUGCGUAGAUAUCGGGAGGAACACCAGAGGCGAAGGCGGCUUUCUGGCCUGUAACUGACGCUGAGGCGCGAAGGCUGGGGUAGCGAACAGG